AGGAUUUCUGGAACCUUGCACUGAAGCCCCAGCCAGGUAGGGGACCCAUUUCUCUGAGGCCUUCUUUCCCCACACUGCGUCACAUCCCUAACAAUAAUUCAGAGCCCAGUACCUUGGACUCCCAGUCUUCGACCACCUUGUUCCUCUCCUCGGAGGAGCCAGGCCCCUCCACCGCCGCCCUGCCAUCUCCCUCCUCCUCUUCCUGCGAGCCUCAGGCCUUUUCCCCAGGUCCGCCAGCGCUGCCUCCGCUGUUGCCUCCGCUCCCCGCAGCCUCGGCGCCCCCAGGCCCCGGCGCCUCCCGGCGCACAGGCCGCUACUCAGUCGUCGCCUCCUCCCCGGAGGCCGCCCCGCGUCUGGUCGACUGGCUCCCCGGUUGCCCUUCGACCAUCUCUCCCAGCACACGCGGGGAUGACAAGGAGCGGCCGCCGCCCGUCCUGGCACCGGCCGAGGGCCCGGAAAGGAGCCGCGCCCCGCGCCCCAGCACUGCGGGCAGGGAGGAGGGCACCGUGGACGCGGGUACAUCCCCGCCGCCCCGAGCCCGGCCCGCCGCUGCGGCGAGCUUGGAGGCCCACGUCGGGGACAUCCUGGUGGAGCUGCGGACCAUGAACGGCCACCUGGACAGCAUAGCGCGGGCCCUCACCAAACUGGCUUCGUCCCUGGGGCCCCAGCCUGAGCCCCUGCCAGAUGUUUCGGAUGCCAACUAAUGGAGCUCGGCGAGGCUGGGCCGCCCCGGGGCCGAGGGAUCGCUUGCACCAGGCAUCCCUGCCUGUCCCUCCCCAGCAGCGAAGCGCGCCCAGCGGAGGAGCGGUUGCUCUGCGCAGCUGCCUAGCGGAAAGCACGGCCCUAGCGUUUCAGCGUGAAACAGACCCGGUUGCGCCUCACACCCUCCUCCUCCGCUCUCUCACGGCGGCCCCUGCCCCGGCUUCCUGGCCCUUCACAUGCCCUUCUCUUGUCUUGAGCGUCUAGCAGAAAAAGUGCCUGGAAACGGCGGUGGCACCCUGCGAAGGAUGCUUAGAGAAACACUCUUUCACAUCCCAUUCCUGCGACUUCCGCGUGGCGUGGAGGGAGAGGAGCUCAAAGCAAGUCGCCAAAGCAGCAGCGAGGCCAGCUCCAGCGUUGGUGGGGCAUCCAUCUCUGGUGACGUUCACAAGAGGAGAAUUGAUGGCCCAAAGUGAAUGUCCUGCCCUGUGAUCUGCCCUUUAGCGGAAGAAACAGCAAAACCGGCAUCAACUAAAGCAACUGGGAACAUCAAGUUUUUAUUCAUUUGUUGAUUUGAACAGUAUUUCAUUCUGAUUUUAACUGACUUCUUUUGCAUUAGAUUAAAAACAACAACAAAAGACUGAAAUCUUUCAAGAACAAAGAGGAGCUGGCCUAUAAAUCCUAAAUACAGAUGUAGUGAUUGAACCCAUCUAGGUAGCUUAUGAAUAUAAAUCUCACCCAAAGUUUCAUCCACACUUAAGAGAUAACCACUGUUAAUAUUUUGGCAACUACUCUUGGAAGUAUUUGUGUCUAAAUACAAAUACCUAUGCGUAUGCAAUUUUACUUAACUGUGAUCAUAGUAGGCCUGCUGUUCUGUAACCUGUUUUUUUUUAAUCUUGAUAAUAGAUGAUAGAAAUCUUUUCAUUUAAAAAGCAAUGUUAUAUAUGAAGUAAAAUUUGCUUAACCAUUUUUUUAUUUAUGCUUCCGAUUUUUCACUAUUACAUGCAAUGCUGUAAUGAAUCUAUCUGAGCAUACAUGUUUUUACUCUUCUGUAAUUAUGUUGUGUAAGUAAAUUCCUAGAGGUAUGAUUGCUGGGUCCAAGGGCAUACACUCCUAACUUCUUUCUUUAGGGCUGUUAUGGCUUCACCAAAGUUCAAAAAGGGGAAGUGAAUGAAUGGUAGGAGGAACACUGGGGUCUCGGGGUGGCUCCAUUUAAAAACUUUGUAAAAGGGAAAUAAAAACAAAGCUAUCUUCUGAAGAUUAAACUUUAAAAUCAGCACACAGCAGGCCAGAAGAGAGAUGUGCAAAACCAUGCUGAAGAGAUGAAUCAUGGUCACUCACAUGGUGUAUGAGUCCGGUCAGGAAACAGAAGCCCUCCUGGUUUUUCACGCUGAGGGGAUCUAAUUGAGGAAUCAGAAACUGGGUGAUGGAAGGACUGGAGGAACAGUGGCAGUCAGGUAAGGUUAUCCGAAGACUAGCGGCUGCAGGAAAGCGCCACCAGCUGUGGGCUGGAGGAGCCAAGGGGGAACGUCUCCUUGGAAACCAGAAUCGGUGUGAUUCCAAGCCAUGGCUGUAGAACUGAGCUGCUUCAGCAGGAAGCCAAGAGCAGCACUGCUAGGCCAAAGCCCCUGACACUGCAGCCACUGCCACUGCCACCCUUGGGUGUCAAUAGCACUGUCACAACUGCCUGAGACACUACCAGAGGCCAGCAGGGAGGAACUAUCCAGGCUUUUGGCAGUGCCUCCUCUUCACAGAACCUCACUGAAAGCCUGUUGGAGGGCGUCUGGGAAAUGCAGCAUGUGGAGGCUCACCCUGCUAUGCUAGAGCAUAGCAAAGAAGGCUGGGAACGCAGCUGACAGCGAGUAGGCAAAUGAUCCGUGCAAGUAGUACUGUGGGUCAAAGCAGUGGGAUAGCUAAAGAGAGCAACUGUCAGUCAGAGGAAGGGCAUCGCAGCCAUGGAGGCACUGAAGAUGGGGCGUCACAGAGUGACAUGGGCAGUGCUUAUGCCAGCAGAGGUGGGCUUGGCUCUCUGGAGCUAGCCACAGGAAGAACCCUGUGGUGACCGCCGCCCCUUGGCUCUCAGUCUAUGCCACGAGAACAUGCUGUGGGAGACUGGCCCACAGAAGUGGCUCUGCUGCAGAGCACAGACAGAUGGGGUUUCUGAACCUUCUUGGUGGACUGCUAGGCCCUGGGCAAGGGCAGGCUAACCAGUGUGCAUUGCCAUUCUGGGAGACAGGAAGCCAGCCUGCCCAUAAGGCAGAUAAGUCUUAAUAUUUUUGUGCUGCUAUAACAAAAUACCUGAGACUGGGCAAUUUAUAAACAACAGAAAUUUAUUUCCUCACAGUUCUGGGGGCUGGGAAGAUCGAGGAACCUGCAUGUUCAGUGUCUGGUAAGGACUUAGUCUCUCCUUCCAAGAUGACACCCCUUGUUGCAUCCUCACAUGGCAGAAGGUGAAAGGGCACAAGGAGAAACAUCUUGCCAAUUCCCUCUAGCCCAUUAUAAGGGCAGAGCCCUCAUGGCUUAAUCACUUCCCAGAAGGCCCCACCUCUUAAUACUAUCACAUGGAGUCUUAGGUUCCAAUAUAUGGAUUUUGGAGACACAGACGUUCUAAUCAUAGCCACAUACCUCCCAGGGACUGGCCCUUGGCCGUCUUCCUUUACCAAAAGGACAUCUGCACAAGUGUUUAUUGGGUUCCUAUCAGGUCCUGGCCUUGUGCUAUGUGCUCUACAUAUAGGAUCUCAUUUAUUCCUUUCAGUAACCCUGUGUGCAAGGUUAGGAGGUAGGGCCUAUCACUCCCAUUUCACUGAUCAGGAAACUGAGGCACAAAAAGGUCAAGUGACUUGCCCAUGGUCACAUAGCUGGUACCGAACGGAGACAGGAUCUGUUUGUCUCCAGGGCUCUGGCUGUACCACCACCUGGGGCUGCCUCUCCCGUUAGACUUCCUCUUGGUAGCAGGUCAAAGCCCUGGAACUGUUGAGCCGCCUUUGGCUAGUGGGUCUCCCGCCGGGUGGCAGCAAAGUUGCUCUCUGGAAGCACUAGGUCUCUGAAAAAUAAGAAAAUGCCAGGAAACUAGAGCAGAAAGCUGGAAAACAAGGAACCUUACCAAUACCCUCAUCCCCCAUCAGCCACAGCAUCAGUGUCGUGUGGGGAGGGAGAAAGGAGGUGCUGAAGGAGAGGACAAGGUGCAGGAAAGAGGAGGAGAGAAGCCGGUGGGCUGUCCAACGUGAUGGCUCUGAAGCACCAGUGGCUCCUAGGCCCUUUAAGGUCAAUGUGAUUAAUCACGUUCCAUGUACAAGGUGACUUGGCUGUUACUGUAUGUUAUCACCCUCCUCUCUCGUCCCCUUAGAUCAUCUGACUUCAACAACCAACUCUGCAUGAGAACUAGAAAAUGCAAGGAUUUCUAUAGGUCUCUAUGGUGACUGUAUUAGUAUCCCAAGGUCCAAGGGCAUUUGCUACCAAAUUAUCAUUAUUAUUAUUUUUUUUUAUAAUUGUGAAGCUUUUUUUUUUAUUAUACUUUAAGUUUUAGGGUACAUGUGCACCUUGUGCAGGUUAGUUACAUAUGUAUACAUGUGCCAUGCUGGUGCGCUACACCCACUAACUCGUCAUCUGGCAUUAGGUAUAUCUCCCAAUGCUAUCCCUCCCCCCUCCCCCCACCCCACCACAGUCCCCAGAGUAUGAUAUUCCCCUUCCUGUGUCCAUGUGAUCUCAAUGUUCAAUUCCCACCUAUGAGUGAGAAUAUGUGGUGUUUGGUUUUUUGUUCUUGCGAUAGUUUACUGAGAAUGAUGAUUUCCAAUUUCAUCCAUGUCCCUACAAAGGACAUGAACUCAUCAUUUUUUAUGGCUGCAUAGUAUUCCAUGGUGUAUAUGUGCCACAUUUUCUUAAUCCAGUCUAUCAUUGUUGGACAUCUGGGUUGGUUCCAAGUCUUUGCUGUUGUGAAUAAUGCCGCAAUAAACAUACAUGUGCAUGUGU
rnacentral:lncRNA from 1 species